GCUUGAUGUUCUCCCGGGACAUCCAGGUCUCCCUCACCCAGUUUGAACACAUUAAUUGGCAGAAGUUUCCCCUGUGAUCUUCCAGUACAACAUUCUUCCUGCAGCCACACCUGACCAGUGGGAGGACUGACUAAAUUCUUCAUCCUCUCCAUCCCAUGCCUUUACGUCUGCUGUGUCUCCCACGUGUUCGUGGAUCGUGCCUGAGGCUGGGACAGACAACUCACAACCAUGAAGAAAAGGCAAAGAGAAUCACAAAGAUGCCAGCCCAACGCUGGGAAGCUACUAGCCUACACCAAUGCUAACAACCAUCCAUUUAUGACUUCUUGUCAUGUGAGGAGAAUGAACCUUCUGUGUGAAUGUCACUUGACUAAGAACAAAUAACAACAAAAGAACUCACCUACGUUCCUUCUAACUAAAGGAUGUGUUUAUUAUUUCCCCUUUCUAACACCACACUCCACAGAACUACUUAUCUACAUUUAUUUAACAAGGCACAUAACUUACAGGUGCCGUAGGAAAGAAGGAAGGAAUGAAGACAACAAAGCAGGAAGGCAGGCAGGAAGAAAAACACCUAUAAAAUCAAGGGCAGUAGAAACCACAGAAGAAAGCCAGAAAACCAGCCAGAUAGAUGGCUGCUGAAACAAUUCAAGAGAGACAUGAUGAUCUACUAUAAUGGCGGUGGAGAACAGAUAGAAGGCUGGUGAGCAGGUGCUCAGGGAGUCUGUCUUCUAUGGUUACAGAGAAUGCUCCUGCAAUGGUCCUGGAAACCACCCACAGCUAAACCCAGAUAAGAAGUCUGUGGCUCAGAGAGACAAAGAGUUUUUUUUAAAAACACACAGCAAACAAGAAGCGGAAUCAGGAUUUGACUCUGUAUCCAACUGACACCCAAACACCAAAUUUUCCAUCAUCUAUGCUUGUUGAAGUUUUUAAUGUAAUAUUCACUCAAUUCCUUUUUAAUAUGCAAGAACUCACAGAAACCCACACAGCCUCCAUAGGAGAACUGGUAUUUAAGCAGUCUCUGCAAAAUCAUAAUAAGGAGGAGGUAAAAGACCAUUCCACUGAAGAGGAGAUGGAAAAAAAGGAGUUUUAGAAAUCUCUCUGCAUGAAUAGAGGAUCUGUUAUUAAAGGCUAUUUUAGGAAGCAAGAAUGGAAGAAUCUGCUCCUCUCCUUUCCCAUUUCCUGGUUCUUGCAUAUCCAUCAAGGAAUCCAUCCAAUGGGCCCUUUGACACAGCUGGGAUAAUGCAGGAAAUCAGCAUUAUUCUUAGCUUACUGAAUGAAUGAUAUGGUGAAGACUCAAAAGCAGAGUCUCCAAGGGAAAUUUAAAAAAGCAUGGAAGUUUUAGGUGGGAGAAUGAAUGACUCAGCAUGCAUGUUAGAAGACUUUCAAGUAUUUGGAGGGUUCUCAUUUGGAAGGUGUAAAACCAGGACAACAACUCUGAAGAAGAUUAGAUUUCCUCUUAGGGUUCAUAUGUAGAAAUCACCAAGAAACAAGAUUCUUCAGAACUGACAUGAGAGAAGAACUUCCUCAAUCACAUGGUGGAAGGCAAUGAGCUGCCUGUAACGGGAAAUACUCCAAUAAAGGUGGUGUGACCACUUGGUGGAGAUGUUGUAGAGAAAAUUCAAGAACUGUAAAGGCCUUUAAAAUCCCUGACAUCGCAGGCUCCUCUGAUUCUGGGAGCUGCACUGAAUCCAAAUGAAUAAUACUAAAACCAUAUUUACCAUAGUCAUUAUCAUGUCUCUAGACAUCUGAGGAGAUGGAUGUUGUCUUUACUGUUUAGAUGGGAGCAUCUAGUCAGGAAUAGAAUCCAAUCACACUAGGAACCAAAUGGACUAGCCACUGAGGUAUAGCAAAUCAGAGUCCCUUAGGGGAGAAGAUGAGUCAUAGAUCAUAAUCCUCACUGGUGUUGUUACAGUCUUCCUGCGCUACAUAGCAUUGAAAUAGGCUGGAAAUGUUCUGUCCUUGGGGUGAUAAAAUAUUCCUUGGUAAGCACACAGAUUCAUUUUCCUAAAGCAAAUGAAUCACUUGUGCUUUUCUUCUCAUAUUUUUUAUCAACAGGGUAAGAACCCUGCCUGUGAAAAAAUCUGUCUAAAAAAUAAGUGUAUAUUUCAAGAGGGACUAUACAAAGAGUAAACACAUGGCAGGUCUCAUGCCAGAGGUCAAACCAGGUUCAACAUAUUUGCAUAUUUUGAUGGGAGCUGUAGAAUAAGGACUACCAAAAUGUACACUUGUUGUGUCAACCCUAAGGGUCUAAAUUUGAACACAAACGGCUUUAGGUAUUGAAGGGAAAACUGUUGCCCAAAGUAUGAAUUCUAUCUAAUAACUCAAUCCUCUAUUGUUUCCCUCUUGGGGUUUAGUAUGCCCACACUGAGAUUUGAAUGCUAAAUCUAGGUCAAACAGAAAUUUGCUCAAGUAUUCCCAGUUCUGAGGACUCGGAAGCUGCUCUGAAAACACUUGUGCUGAAUGACGGCAUUUUACAGAGGCAAUAUGCACUGCAUCUAUUCUUUGAAAAAAUUUUUUUGAGUUCUUUCUCUAUGUCAAGUAUUCUGCUGGGCCUAGGAAUGGGGAGGAUGAGGUAUGGGCCCUUCCUUCAACUAGCUCAUAAUGGUGUGCAGACAGAUUUACAGUGAUAUAAUUCAGUGUUUUUAGUGCUGCAAGAGAGGUAUUUAUAAUGAACAAUGGUUAUGUAAAGAAAGGAAAAAUUGACCAUUUGCUCUGUGUAUUUGGGGGGAAGGUGAGGUUUGUAGGAAAAAGUUUAUCAAAAGAGUUAACAUGUAACCUGUAAGCUGGAUGUUGAAGUUUAUCCUUUCUUAUAUAGGUGAAAGAUGGGACAGUAUUCCAGAGAGAAGGAGGAGAAUAUGCAAAUGUGCCAUUUGUGGAAAAGUGUAUAUAUUUAGGAAAAUGUUAAUAUGGCUAGUCCAUGGGGUUGUACAGGAGACGGGGCUGGGAAGUAGGAGAGGAGAGUGAGUGAUUUUUUUUUACAAACAUGAUCCUUUGGCUAUGGGGAAGAAAAACAAAUACAAAAAGGUUUUAAAGAGGAAAGAGACAUGAUCAGGUUUUAUGAUUUAUAAAUGUAUGUGUCCAUACAGGGAGACUGGAUUGCAAGGGAAAAAAUGGAAUCUGGAAGCAUGAUUAAAAGUUGAUUACAAAAUUUAUAAGUUGGGUAAAAUCUAGUGGUGGUAAGCCUAUGGAGAAACAGAUAUUCUCAUACACUUUUGGUAGAAACGUAAAUUGGUAUAACUUUUUGGAAGACAAUUUGCUAACAUGUAGCAACUUCACUUUUAGCAUUUAUCUUAUAGAUAUAUUCACACACACACAAUGUGACAUUUAGUUGACAACCUAAAUGUCCAUCAAUAGGGAACUACAUUUAUACAAUGUAAUAGGCUGAAAUCAUAAAAGCAGAAUGAGGUGGAGAUUUACAUAUAGAUAUGGAAAAAUGGUGAAGGUCUAUAGUUAAGGGAAAAGUAUGAUUUGCAGUACAGGUUAUAGACAAACAGAUUGGCAGACAGAUAGACAUAAAAUUGGUAACCAUCGUGUUAAAAAUAACUAGAAAAGCUAAGUCAAAACAAACAAACAAAAAUAUAGUUUGAAGGAAGUGGAGACCUUCCAAGUCAUUGAAAAAUUAUAGGUCUAAGAUCCUGGAAAACAAAGAGAUUGGGAGAAACAAGCCUGGUAUUUGAAGUAGCUUUUU
rnacentral:lncRNA from 1 species